GGGUUGUGAGGUUAAGCGACUAAGCGUACACGGUGGAUGCCCUGGCAGUCAGAGGCGAUGAAGGACGUGCUAAUCUGCGAUAAGCGUCGGUAAGGUGAUAUGAACCGUUAUAACCGGCGAUUUCCGAAUGGGGAAACCCAGUGUGAUUCGUCACACUAUCAUUACGUGAAUACAUAGCGUAAUGAAGCGAACCGGGGGAACUGAAACAUCUAAGUACCCCGAGGAAAAGAAAUCAACCGAGAUUCCCCCAGUAGCGGCGAGCGAACGGGGAGCAGCCCAGAGUCUGAAUCAGCUUGUGUGUUAGUGGAACGGUCUGGAAAGUCCGACGGUACAGGGUGAUAGUCCCGUACACCAAAAUGCACAGGUUGUGAACUCGAAGAGUAGGGCGGGACACGUGGUAUCCUGUCUGAAUAUGGGGGGACCAUCCUCCAAGGCUAAAUACUCCUGACUGACCGAUAGUGAACCAGUACCGUGAGGGAAAGGCGAAAAGAACCCCGGCGAGGGGAGUGAAAAAGAACCUGAAACCGUGUACGUACAAGCAGUGGGAGCNNNNNNNNNNNNGUGACUGCGUACCUUUUGUAUAAUGGGUCAGCGACUUAUAUUCUGUAGCAAGGUUAACCGUAUAGGGGAGCCGAAGGGAAACCGAGUCUUAACUGGGCGUUAAGUUGCAGGGUAUAGACCCGAAACCCGGUGAUCUAGCCAUGGGCAGGUUGAAGGUUGGGUAACACUAACUGGAGGACCGAACCGACUAAUGUUGAAAAAUUAGCGGAUGACUUGUGGCUGGGGGUGAAAGGCCAAUCAAACCGGGAGAUAGCUGGUUCUCCCCGAAAGCUAUUUAGGUAGCGCCUCGUGAAUUCAUCUUCGGGGGUAGAGCACUGUUUCGGCUAGGGGGUCAUCCCGACUUACCAACCCGAUGCAAACUGCGAAUACCGAAGAAUGUUAUCACGGGAGACACACGGCGGGUGCUAACGUCCGUCGUGAAGAGGGAAACAACCCAGACCGCCAGCUAAGGUCCCAAAGUCAUGGUUAAGUGGGAAACGAUGUGGGAAGGCACAGACAGCCAGGAUGUUGGCUUAGAAGCAGCCAUCAUUUAAAGAAAGCGUAAUAGCUCACUGGUCGAGUCGGCCUGCGCGGAAGAUGUAACGGGGCUAAACCAUGCACCGAAGCUGCGGCAGCGACACUAUGUGUUGUUGGGUAGGGGAGCGUUCUGUAAGCCGUUGAAGGUGUACUGUGAGGUAUGCUGGAGGUAUCAGAAGUGCGAAUGCUGACAUAAGUAACGAUAAUGCGGGUGAAAAACCCGCACGCCGGAAGACCAAGGGUUCCUGUCCAACGUUAAUCGGGGCAGGGUGAGUCGACCCCUAAGGCGAGGCCGAAAGGCGUAGUCGAUGGGAAACAGGUUAAUAUUCCUGUACUUGGUGUUACUGCGAAGGGGGGACGGAGAAGGCUAUGUUAGCCGGGCGACGGUUGUCCCGGUUUAAGCAUGUAGGCGGAGGUUCCAGGUAAAUCCGGUACCUUUUUAACGCUGAGGUGUGAUGACGAGGCACUACGGUGCUGAAGUAACAAAUGCCCUGCUUCCAGGAAAAGCCUCUAAGCAUCAGGUAACACGAAAUCGUACCCCAAACCGACACAGGUGGUCAGGUAGAGAAUACCAAGGCGCUUGAGAGAACUCGGGUGAAGGAACUAGGCAAAAUGGUGCCGUAACUUCGGGAGAAGGCACGCUGAUAUGUAGGUGAAGUGAUUUACUCAUGGAGCUGAAAUCAGUCGAAGAUACCAGCUGGCUGCAACUGUUUAUUAAAAACACAGCACUGUGCAAACACGAAAGUGGACGUAUACGGUGUGACGCCUGCCCGGUGCCGGAAGGUUAAUUGAUGGGGUUAUCCGUAAGGAGAAGCUCUUGAUCGAAGCCCCGGUAAACGGCGGCCGUAACUAUAACGGUCCUAAGGUAGCGAAAUUCCUUGUCGGGUAAGUUCCGACCUGCACGAAUGGCGUAAUGAUGGCCAGGCUGUCUCCACCCGAGACUCAGUGAAAUUGAACUCGCUGUGAAGAUGCAGUGUACCCGCGGCAAGACGGAAAGACCCCGUGAACCUUUACUAUAGCUUGACACUGAACACUGGUCCUUGAUGUGUAGGAUAGGUGGGAGGCUUUGAAGUGUGGACGCCAGUCUGCAUGGAGCCAUCCUUGAAAUACCACCCUUUAAUGGCUGGUGUUCUAACGUGGACCCGUAAUCCGGGUUGCGGACAGUGUCUGGUGGGUAGUUUGACUGGGGCGGUCUCCUCCUAAAGAGUAACGGAGGAGCACGAAGGUUAGCUAAUCCUGGUCGGACAUCAGGAGGUUAGUGCAAAGGCAUAAGCUAGCUUGACUGCGAGAGUGACGGCUCGAGCAGGUGCGAAAGCAGGUCUUAGUGAUCCGGUGGUUCUGAAUGGAAGGGCCAUCGCUCAACGGAUAAAAGGUACUCCGGGGAUAACAGGCUGAUACCGCCCAAGAGUUCAUAUCGACGGCGGUGUUUGGCACCUCGAUGUCGGCUCAUCACAUCCUGGGGCUGAAGUAGGUCCCAAGGGUAUGGCUGUUCGCCAUUUAAAGUGGUACGCGAGCUGGGUUUAGAACGUCGUGAGACAGUUCGGUCCCUAUCUGCCGUGGGCGCUGGAGAAUUGAGGGGGGCUGCUCCUAGUACGAGAGGACCGGAGUGGACGCAUCACUGGUGUUCGGGUUGUCAUGCCAAUGGCAUUGCCCGGUAGCUAAAUGCGGAAGAGAUAAGUGCUGAAAGCAUCUAAGCACGAAACUUGCCCCGAGAUGAGUUCUCCCUGAGACUAUAAGUCUCCUGAAGGAACGUUGAAGACGACGACGUUGAUAGGUCGGGUGUGUAAGUGUAGCGAUACAUUGAGCUAACCGAUACUAAUGAACCGUGAGGCUUAACCUUACAACGCCGAAG
rnacentral:rRNA from 1 species